UGAGGUCAAGCAAAAGGUUUAGCUAGAUUUCACUGUUAACAGGCUUGUGACAAGAUCCUGAGCUCAAGAAUAUAACAAUAGCAUUCAAGUGAAAAAUAUUGCCACAUAAGCAGCUACAAUGGUGCCACAACCAAUGUUGGAGCAGAAGAGUAGCAGAAAACACAUACUAAAAGGCAAGUAAAUAAGAAGAUGGAGUCAAAACCCACCAUAUUUAAGCACAUCCUAGACUCAUAUGGGAUA
rnacentral:misc_RNA from 1 species